AAUCUGCGCUGUGCUCAGCAGAGACGCCUCUGCUGCUCCUCGUUUGAAUCUGCGCUGUGCUCAGCAGAGACCUCUGCUGCUCCUCGUUUGAAUCUGCCGCUCGCCAGGCACCGCCCCUGCCUCACCUUCCUGCGAGCACUUAGCACCCUCCGCUCCCUACCCCCUUCUGGGCUCCUCAGAUCGAGAGAGCCUCAAAAUGGAGGAGAAAAAAGGCUUCAAGAAAGCGCAUUUCAGCUGAGCUAGCCUCGGUCCUGCUCUCUUGCCGAACCAGGCUGUUCAGAGAGCCUCUGAUGCAUCAGCUCAGGUCUCAGCUCAGGAUCUCCCAGCAAAUGCCUGGUCCUGAUCAUGGACAAAAGUGAUAGGAGAGAGGUCCUCAGGUGAAAGCCUCUGUUUGAAAGGCUGGAGAGCACUACAUGGUUCAGGGUAAAACUGUGAUGUGGAGGAGGAGCAACUGAGGGAGCCUCAGGUUGCUUUGGGAAUCAUCUAAAGUGCCCUUUCUGAGACAGGAGCAGUUUGCUUUGCUUAAAAUGCAGACAGCUGAGGUCAGGCAGCUGCUCCCCAUGCUCAGACAGACAGCUGUUCCCCAUGCUCAGACAGACAGCUGCUCCCCAUGCUCAGACAGACAGCUGCUCCCCUUGGUCGGACAGACAGCUGCUCCCCUUGGUCGGACAGACAGCUGCUCCCCUUGGUCGGACAGACAGCUGCUCCCCUUGGUCAGAAGGCUGCUCCCCAUGCUCAGACAGACAGACAACUGCUCCCCGUGGUCAGACAUCCUGGGUUUCAGAACCACACAGAAGUAACUACGUUGGAAAAGCCCUCUGAGCUUGAGUCCAACCUCCAACGGAAGUCUCCUGUUAACAGCCCUGGCACCAAGUGCCUCGUGCAGCCUCCAGGGAUGGCGACUCCACCACCUCCCUGUGCAGCCCAUUCCAAUGCUGUGAAGAACUUCCUCCUAACAUCCAGCCUGAACCUGCUCUGGCACAGCUUGAGGCUGUGUCCCCUUCUUCUGGUGCUGGCUGCCUGGCAGCAGAGCCCAACCCCACCUGGCUACAGCCUCCCUGCAGGCAGCUGCAGGCAGCAAUGAGCUCUGCCCUGAGCCUCCUCUGCUGCAGGCUGCACCCCCCCAGCUCCCUCAGCCUCUCCUCACAGGGCUGUGCUCCAGGCCCCUCCCCAGCCUUGCUGCCCUUCUCUCAACACCUUCCAGCACCUCAACAUCUUUCUUAAACUGAGGAGCCCAGAACUUGACACAGUGCUCAAUGUGAGGCCUAGCCAGUGCCAGUACAGGGGCAGAAAGACUGCCCUGGUCCUGCUGGCCACACUGUUCUUGAUACAGGCCAGGAGCACCUGGGCACACUGCUGGCUCAGCUGCCAACCAGUACCCUCAGGUCCCUCUCUGCCUGUCUGCCUUCCAGCCACUCUGUCCCCAGCCUCUAGCACUGCUUGGGGUUGUUGUGGCUGUCUGGAAUAUGCAGAUGUGUGGUGACACAGGUGUGUGACCAUGCACAGUGUACAUCCCUUCAGCUGUUAAUGUAAGACUGAGAUGCAAAGAAUAUCCCUGAGGAGCAAAUCAGAACAGCAGUGUUGGAUCCAUUGAUCCAGCUUGAAACAGCCCAGAGUUGUGCACCGAGUGCAAAUAGCCCCAGUGCAGGCAGUCAGGAAGCAGUGAACUGCAGCAGUCUCGGCAGGGCAGGACUCCAUGCAAAUCAACUCCCUGGAAUUUACCUGAACAGCUGCAGCUGGAAUUGCUUGGACGCUGCAAGUACAGUUGUGGUGCCUUUGCCAGGCUGUGAAGGAGCAAGUGUGGAGCACCUGCAGUGCCCUGGGGACACUGCACAGACACCUGUCUUUAUGUCCCCCUGACAGGCAGGCAGAGCAAGGCACUCCUUGCAGACACUAACACUGCAGCUUUGCUGACUUUUCUAAGGACAGAAAAUCAGACCCUUGAGUUACAAAAGACACAUCCCAGUGAUGGAAAGUGAUAGGAACUGUGAUUUGUGAAGAGAUUGAACUGCUGCAGCUGGGAAGCUUGCUGAGGGUGGAGAACAAGACCACCCAUUCACAAGGACAUGAGAGAAAAAUCACACAGCAGUACUUUUCCCAAACACUUGUGCCUGAGAAUGCAGAGCCACCAGGGCCCUGGGUUAAAUAAAUUAAUUAUUAACUACCCAGCAGGAAA